rnacentral:rRNA from 1 species
CCCUUAGAUGUCCUGGGCCGCACGCGCGCUACACUGAAGGGAUCAGCGUGUUUUCCCUUCCCGAGAGGGACGGGUAACCCGCUGAACCCCCUUCGUGGUAGGGAUCGGGGCUUGCAAUUAUUCCCCGUGAACCAGGAAUUCCCAGUAAGCGCAAGUCAUAAGCUUGCGUUGAUUACGUCCCUGCCCUUUGUACACACCGCCCGUCGCUACUACCGAUUGAACGUUUUAGUGAGGUAUUUGGACUGGGCCUUGGGAGGUUCGCGCCUUCCUUGUGCUCGGGAAGACUCCCAAACUUGAGCGUUUAGAGGAAGUAAAAGUCGUAACA